UACGUAGGGGGCAAGCGUUGUCCGGAUUUAUUGGGCGUAAAGAGCGUGUAGGCGGCCAGGUAGGUCAGCUGUGAAACUCGAGGCUCAACCUCGAGAUGUCGGCGGAAACUGUCUGGCUAGAGUCCGGAAGAGGAGAGUGGAAUUCCUGGUGUAGCGGUGAAAUGCGCAGAUAUCAGGAAGAACACCUAUGGCGAAGGCAGCUCUCUGGGACGGUACUGACGCUGAGACGCGAAAGCGUGGGGAGCGAACAGG
rnacentral:rRNA from 1 species